GAUUCCGAAUGACUGUCAGCACUGCUGUUUAUCCUGUUGGCUGAAGUUACUUAAAUUUAUUCAGACUAUUAACAAAAUAAAAACGACGAACAAAAAUCCAUCACAGGAGCAUACAGAAGAUUUCACAAAAAAAGAAAAAGUGGAUAAAAACAACGAAUCUUAUUUGAAACAAAAUAGUUUGUUUCGGAUUAUAUUCAGCUUCAGUUCCUCGGUCUUCAAUAAAUACUUCAGGUCUUGAUCAUCAUGGUUGGAACCACCCUGUAAAAAUUUCAGUAUCAGAAUAUGGAAUUUACAACAAAUUUUCAUAUUCUCCCUAUCACCCUUUUCCAUCUUCAUAUAUCAUAGGAAUGCCAUCUUAUUUUUUCAAUUUUUGGAAUUAUUACAAUCACGGAUUG